AAUUAUUGAUUUAAUAAUAUAUCAUAUUAAUACAGAUGAUACUGUGACAAUAAUUGAAUUAAUAAUAUGAGAGAUAUGAUGCAGCAAUUACUGUAGCAAUAAUUGAGUAUAACUAAGUGACUUCUCACGUAAACAUUAAUAAUCAAUACCGUGUGCUACUAUGCAACCACAUGUAUUACUGUACUUUUACUACCGAGUAGUUCAACAGUUUAACGGUAAAACUUUUGCCAUUAUUUUUAUAAAAAGAUAAUUCUGUCGUUUUCUUACUACGACAAUACUUCCGUUGUGGGGUGCACCAAUGAUUGUGUCGUAGUAUGAAUAUUCCCUGUUAAAACGAAUAUUCCCCGACCAAUCGAAUAUUAUAUAACAACUUGCUUACUUUGCAAAAUUUAUAAAUACUACCCACAACUAUAACAUUAUAUCAAAUCCACACCAUAAUAUUAAAAAAUAUAUUUCGAGAAAUUUAAAUCUUUAUUCAUAAAAUUUAGGGUCUCACAGUCACCGUGGCAACACGGAUGUCAGGGGGUGCCUAACACCUUUCCUCCGCAUAAUCAAG
rnacentral:lncRNA from 1 species